rnacentral:rRNA from 1 species
UACGUAGGGGGCGAGCGUUUGUCCGGAGUUACUGGGCGUAAAGGGCGUGCAGGCGGUGCGGUAAGUUUUAGGCGUCGACAGUCUCCGGCUUAACUGGAGAAGGCCGCUGAAAACUGCUGGACUUGAGGGCCAGAGAAGGGACAUAGAAUUCCGGGUGGAGUGGUGAAAUGCGUAGAUAUCCGGAGGAAUACCAAAGGCGAAGGCAGUGUCCUGGCUGGCAACUGGACGCUGAGGCGCGAAAGCUAGGGGAGCGAACAGG